CACUCUGUCCAUUCAUAAGGACUUGUAAGACCCUUAUUCUAUAAUAAUAGACAGAGCCCAGUCUUAAAGUCAUACAGCAGAGUUUAUUCACGAGAGUACUGAACACGAUACAGGUUACCACAGGUUAUAAACUGAAAAUGACGUCAUUAGUUCCAGCACCAACCCGUGCCAUCUCCGUUCCAGUACAAAGGCUGUAUCUCAAGCCUUCCCACAUCCGUCUCCCUACCAAUUUAAUAUAAUUUACGAGUCAAGGUUUUCUCGUGUAGAUAAGCAUUCUAGCCAGUCUGAUUCAUUUGUACCAAGGAACAGACAGUCAUUGUUCUAACUCUUGACCACAUUCACACACAUUAUAUUCAGUACUGGGAUCAAGAAAGAAAACUCAUACAUUUACAGCAACAUAAUAAUAUUCGGAUUAGUACAUAUACAGUAACAUAAUAGUAUUCUGAUUAGUCAGUCCUGAUUGUAAUGUAUACAUAAUUAGUCAUCAUUGAUAAAAAUUCCCUUAACAGGAACACAAGGAGAAGGCCAACCUGGAUAUCCAGGGUUCCAGGGAUACCCUGGUCUGAGAGGACCUGCAGGUUUAAAGGUCUGUCUGUCUGUCUGUCUGGAUACCCUGGUCUGAGAGGACCUGCAGGUUUAAAGCUCUGUCUGUCGGUCUGUCUGUCUGUCAGGAUACCCUGGUCUGAGAGGACCUGCAGGUUUAAAGGUCUGUCUGUCUGUCUGUCUGUCUGUCUGUCUGUCUGUCUGUCUGUCUGUCUGUCUGUCUGUCUGUCUCUGUCUCUGUCUCUGUCUCUGUCUCUGUCUCUGUCUCUGUCUCUGUCUCUGUCUCUGUCCAUUCCACUGUUACGUCCAGAAAAAUAAAGAUAUGAACCGGUUUAGCUCAGUAGAUUACUUUGUCAAUAAGUGCGGAUAGAGCAGGCAAACUAGUUGUUUACAUACGUGAUGGACAGACAAGUGUAGCCUAUGGUGACUGAAAUUUUGCAGGGGCGAGAGAAGGUUGAGGAGGAGGCUUGAAGCGCUGGGCAUCUUGUUAUGACAUGCGUUAUCUGAAUUAGGUCCACAGAAUUAUAUCUAGGAAGAGGAGCUUCUAUGGAGGAACUUUGAAUGUCCUUUGAGCUAACAAGCUUGUGUGUGCAGAGCGGCAGCUGAAUUAAAAACACGUUUCCUUUUUGUAGUUAACAUAUCCAAUGUGAAAUGUGAUAACUCGGCCUAUAGAAUCCUUAACUAGUAUUGUAAAAGUGAAUUAUUCUCCAGCUAAUUAAAUCUCUCUCCCUAUCUUCUGAAUCAUGCUUGUAAUGUCAGUACUGCUUUAGAGGGGGCGGGGCUACAGUAACCUAUGCUUUGGAGGGGGGAGGGGCUACAGUAGCCUAUACUUUG
rnacentral:lncRNA from 1 species